AAUCUCUCUCUCUCUCUGCAAUGGGUCGAGUAGUCCCCACCCUGAAGGUGCUGCCCCCCUCCAGCGAGGAGCUGCAGCAGGGGAUGGCCACGCUCAUGUGCCUGGCCAACAAGGGCUUCCCCUCAGACUGGAGUCUGGCCUGGAAGGUGGACAGCAGCAGCAGCGGCAGCAUCAGCUGGGAGGAGAGCAGGAGCCCCGGGGUGCUGGAGAAGGACGGCUGCUACAGCUGGAGCAGCACCCUGAGGCUCCCUGCAGACCAGUGGAGGAAGGUGGGCUCUGUGACCUGUGAGGCCACCCAGGGCUGCCAGACUCCGGUCUCAGAGAUACUGAGAAGAGACCAGUGUUCCCAGUCCUGAUCUGACUCACUGGGACUCUGCUACUGGUUUUACUCUGCUACUGCUGUCAGUCUGCACUCUCUGUCUCUCUCUCUGGUUCUCUCUUUGUCUCAUGACAUGUUUCAACAUU